rnacentral:rRNA from 1 species
GUGAGGAAUAUUGGUCAAUGGGCGGGAGCCUGAACCAGCCAAGUCGCGUGAAGGAAGAAGGAUCUAUGGUUCGUAAACUUCUUUUGCAGGGGAAUAAAGUGCAGGACGUGUCCUGUUUUGUAUGUACCCUGAGAAUAAGGAUCGGCUAACUCCGUGCCAGCAGCCGCGGUAAUACGGAGGAUCCGAGCGUUAUCCGAAUUUAUUGGGUUUAAAGGGUGCGUAGGUGGGUUGAUAAGUCAGCGGUGAAAGUUUGCAGCUUAACUGUAAAAAUGCCGUUGAAACUGUCGGACUUGAGUGUAAAUGAGGUAGGCGGAAUGCGUGGUGUAGCGGUGAAAUGCAUAGAUAUCACGCAGAACUCCGAUUGCGAAGGCAGCUUACUAAGCUACAACUGACACUGAAGCACGAAAGCGUGGGGAUCAAACAGGAUUAGAAACCCUGGUAGUCC